UACGGAGGGUGCGAGCGUUGUCCGGAAUCAUUGGGCGUAAAGGGUGCGUAGGUGGCGCCGUAAGUCAGGUGUGAAAUCUCGGGGCUUAACUCCGAAACUGCAUUUGAUACUGCGGUGCUUGAGGACUGGAGAGGAGACUGGAAUUUACGGUGUAGCAGUGAAAUGCGUAGAGAUCGUAAGGAAGACCAGUGGCGAAGGCGGGUCUCUGGACAGUUCCUGACACUGAGGCACGAAGGCCAGGGGAGCAAACGGG
rnacentral:rRNA from 1 species